CUCACAUCACAUCCACACUUAAAGUGACUUUAAUCAGUUAUAUAACACAGCAGCAUGAUCACUGAGCACGUCUGAAUGUGUGACUCUUUUAGCUUUAAUAGCAAUGCCAUCGUGUCUGUGUGAUGUCCGAGUGUGUCCAGGAGAGCCAGAAGGUGCUGCUGGUUCUCAACCCAGAGUUUGUGAGGAGCCGCUGGUGUCUCCUGGAGGCCGAUAUGUCUCUGUUGCAUGAAGGUGUAGAUAAUGCAACUUGAGCACUGUUGUCAUUAAAGGUACAGUCACUGUAACAACAUCACCCAUGUUGGAAUUCCACUGGGGAAAGACUGUGUAGAGUCUUCACAGGGCUGUGUUUUGGUUUUCAUUUUCCUCCUUCCUUAUACUGUUGUCGGCAGCUCGUUGCUGCACUGUUUUAUGUGUUGAUUCUCUAAAGGUAGUGACAGGAUUAAUCUCAAAUAGACAGUAACUGCUAAGACUCUGUGACCUCACUAACUUCUUCCUUGCACACUGUUGAAGAUAAUGGACCAAAGGAACUCACUUGAGCCUUCAGACAGCCAGUCACAGUCCACCGUCCCACUGUCUCCUCUUCAUGUUCCUC